ACUACAGAAAAAGCACGGACAGAGGCGUGGAGAGGAGGCAGUCAGCGAGUUCUUGUAACCGGCCCAUUUGGAAUUAGAGACCAUCCUGAUCCUCACCAAUCCCCGCGCUGGAGUCUCCACUCCUCUAGUGGGAAUCCAGAGACUGGAGCCCAGCCUAUUCCAAAAUCCCACCACUGCCAGCCUGCACUUCCAUUUGCCACUCCUCUGAAUGAAAGCAUUGCUGUCUCCUGAAGGUCCCAGAGGGACACAAUAAAUGGAGAAGGUA